GGCCGGUUAGCUCAGUGGUUUGAGCGCGAUGCUGACAACAAUGACCCACACUGAGGUCGCGGGUUCGAUUCCCGCUCGGUCC
rfam:Apaloderma vittatum contig22772, whole genome shotgun sequence.